rnacentral:rRNA from 1 species
AUUGAACGCUGGCGGCAUGCCUUACACAUGCAAGUCGAACGGUAACAGGUCUUCGGAUGCUGACGAGUGGCGAACGGGUGAGUAAUAUAUCGGAACGUGCCCAGUCGUGGGGGAUAACGCAGCGAAAGCUGUGCUAAUACCGCAUACGAUCUAUGGAUGAAAGCGGGGGAUCGCAAGACCUCGCGCGAUUGGAGCGGCCGAUAUCAGAUUAGGUAGUUGGUGGGGUAAAGGCCCACCAAGCCAACGAUCUGUAGCUGGUCUGAGAGGACGACCAGCCAGACUGGAACUGAGACACGGUCCAGACUCCUACGGGAGGCAGCAGUAGGGAAUUUUCCACAAUGGGCGAAAGCCUGAUGGAGCAACGCCGCGUGCAGGAUGAAGGCCCUCGGGUCGUAAACUGCUUUUGUACGGACGAAAAGGUCUUUCUAAUAAAGAAGGCUGAUGACGGUACCGUAAGAAUAAGCACCGGCUAACUACGUGCCAGCAGCCGC